rnacentral:rRNA from 1 species
UACGUAGGGUCCGAGCGUUGUCCGGAAUUACUGGGCGUAAAGCGCACGUAGGCGGCUUUGUAAGUUAGAGGUGAAAGCCCGGGGCUCAACUCCGGAACUGCCUUUAAGACUGCAUCGCUUGAAUCCAGGAGAGGUGAGUGGAAUUCCGAGUGUAGAGGUGAAAUUCGUAGAUAUUCGGAAGAACACCAGUGGCGAAGGCGGCUCACUGGACUGGUAUUGACGCUGAGGUGCGAAAGCUAGGGGAGCAAACGGG